rnacentral:rRNA from 1 species
UUCUGGUUGAUCCUGCCGGCGGGCACCGCUAUUGGAGUUCGCUUAAGCCAUGCGAGUCGAGAGGGGUAAGCCCUCGGCGCACUGCUCAGUAACACGCGGAUAAUCUGCCCUCGAGUGGGGGAUAACCCCGGGAAACUGGGAAUAAUACCCCAUAGCCGUUCCAUGAUGGAAGGCUGGGACGGCGAAAGCUGAGGCGCUCGAGGAUGGAUCUGUGGCCUAUCAGGUCGUAGGGGGUGUCACGGACCCCCUAGCCGAAGACGGGUACGGGCUUUGAGAGAAGUCGCCCGGAGAUGGGUUCUGAGACAUGAACCCAGGUCCUACGGGACGCAGCAGGCGCGAAACCUCCACAAUGUGGGAAACCACGAUGGGGGAACUCCAAGUGGAUGCACUUUGUGUAUUCUGUUCUCGAGCCUAAAAAGCUCGAGAAGUAAGGGCCGGGUAAGACGGGUGCCAGCCGCCGCGGUAAUACCCGCGGCCCGAGUGGUGCUCAUUAUUAUUGAGUCUAAAGCGUCCGUAGCCGGCCGGGUAAAUCUCUGGGUAAUCGGGCGGCUCAACCGUCCGAAUCAGAGACACUGCCCGGCUUGGAUCGGGAGAGGGUGAUGGUACUCCUGGGUAGGGGUAAAAUCCUGUAUCC